CAUAAACGGCUACCACAUCCCCGCCGGCCUCCCAGUAUUCAUCCCCGUCUACGCCAUCCAUCACGACCCCGAGUUUUGGCCACAACCAGAAGAGUUCGACCCUGACAGGUUCCUCCCCGAGAGCAAGCACGAGUUGCACGACUACAUGUGGAUGCCGUUUGGCGUCGGGCCAAGGAACUGUCUGGGAAUGAGGUUGGCCUUGUUGGAGGCAAAGAUGGCGAUAGUGGCUUUGGUGCAGAACUUCCGGUUUGUUGUAACUCAGGAAACACAGAUUCCAGAGACCUUGGAGAAGGGGUCAUUUACAAGAGCUGCCCAUGACCUUUAUUUUGG